rnacentral:tRNA from 1 species
AGGGGUGUAGCUCAGGGGUAGAGUGUGUGCUUAGCCUUCACAAGGCCCUGGGUUCAAUCCCCAGCAUCUCCC